GAUUAAUCACGAUUAAUCGUUUGACAGCACUAAUAUAUAUAUUUAAUGCUCUUAAUGGUUUUCAUGACAUUUUAUUACAAACUGAGGUAAAGAUAUUUUAUGUUGAGAUCUUUUGAGGUAUAAGCAACCUAAAAUAUUUUAUUAUAUUUCUGCAAAGCUGCAAUAACAGAGAGAAAUAAAUGUUCUGGUUUUCUAAAAAACAGACCCUUAAGCCCUGAGGCCUGAGCUGACUUCAAGUGUGAAACAUCUCUCCAGACAGAGUUACAGCUCAUCUCAGCCACGGGCCUUCGUAUGUUAGUUUGUGAGCAGGAACAGCAUGGAUUCAGCUUGAGCCAGAGGUGUAUGUCAUGUUGGCAAUAAUAUAUAUAUAUAUGUAUAUAUUUUAACCGGUUGUUUUAAACUCUUGUGCAAAAAAAUGCUAUGAAAUGAAAACUGCUUGAAAGCGCCGUUACGAGCAGCUUCAGCUUGUGUAAGUCUUUGAUUCCUUUAUGUUAAUCAUUCUCACCUGUGCGCUGGGCUCAGAGAGUCUGCUGCUGUGUGUGAUUGCAAGGAGGUGCUAAUAACAUUUUACUUAAACGCCAUCUGCUCAGACUGCUGAGGUGGAGAGAGAGGGAAGUAAGAAAAAAAUAAGAGAGCGAAUAAAUAAAUCAGUCUUCAACCAAACAUCAUUCUAAUGGGAAAACUUACUGUACAUCUAAGUGUGAACAUUUGCAUCACAUUUAGGUGUCACCAAGGGAACAUAAUAUGUGUGGAGACCUAUUUGAUCUUCUCAAGAUUCACCUGGGAACACGUGCCUAUCACCAUGAAGAUCAGUGAAAUAUAGCAGACCCCACUGAAGACCUCCAAAAUCUGUCCAAGAAUGAAAUUCAGCAGGUAAUAUAAUAUGAAUCAGAACUGACAAUAUUUACUUUCUUAAGGUGUUUUCAUAGAUUAGAUUAGCAAAAUUGCAGUUGUCUACCCAGCAGGCACACAAUGUCAUGGGUUAAAUUUUGGUUGUCAAUUCAACAUCUAAUGUCAGUAUUAAAGGGAUAGUUCACCCAAAAAUGAAAAUUUUAUGUUUAUCUGCUUACCUCCAGGACAUCCAAGAUAUAGGUGACUUUGUUUCUUCAGUAGAACACAAACAAAGAUUUUUAACUCAAACCGUUGCAGUCUGUCAGUCAUAUAAUAGCAGUCAAUGGGCUCCAUGGCUUUGAGAGUAAAAUAAACAUACACAGACAAAACCAAAUUAAACCCUGUUUAUUAAAUCAGUUUAUUGCACAGGCCGAUCAUUUUGU
ensembl:lncRNA